rnacentral:rRNA from 1 species
UACGAAGGGUGCGAGCGUUAUUCGGAGUUACUGGGCGUAAAGAGCGUGGAGGCGGAUUUUUAAGUCAUUUGUGAAAGGCCCUGGCUUACCUGGGGAAAUGCGAGUGAAACUGGAAAUCUAGAGUACAAGAGAGAAGAGUGGAAUUCUCGGAGUAGCGGUAAAAUGCGUAGAUCUCGAGAGGAACACCGGUUGCGAAGGCGGCUCUUUGGCUUGUAACUGACGCUGGAGCGCGAAAGCGUGGGGAGCAAACAGG